AUCUAUCACACGUGUAGACAAAGGGGGACUCCACAACACAAAGCUAGAUGUGCCCUCUCAAACUUUUUUCCGCGACGCACGGCAAGGCGCGCAGAGGAAGCAGCCCCCAGGGUGGAUUUCUAUCACAGAUUAACCAGCAAAGCUGUUCUUCCUGCAUGAGGUUAAGGAAAUAAAAAUAUGUGGAAAUCACAUGGACGAUGUAGAGUCACCUAUCGAGCAACUUUUCAGAAGAAGAGGAGGAUUAAGAGACUGCAGUUUUUUUGAGAAGGUGAAGACUUAUCACAGAAGGAUUUGGACGUGUUCAAGCAGCAGCAGCAGCAGCAGCAGCGCCCGUCGGAUUGUGUUUUAGGCACACUUGGAAAUCUAAAACCCCCGGAGACACUUUGAGGAUUAUAAAAAAUGCGCAAUGUGCCUCUUUACAAGACACGUCCUGGGCCAGUCCUCGGGACCUCAGGAUAUUGCAUCUCUGAUCCUCCUGGGCCCUCUGCAUGGGGAGUGUGGGAGUGGUGAGGUCUGGGAGAUCACGACCUUAAUUCUCUCCAAGACAGACAGUGUAAUUAACAGUGGAGGAAUCCUCACUAACUCCAGACCUCUGCAAUGAGAAUGUACAAGGGAAUUGGAUUGCCAAGGUCCUCUUGGCUAUUUAGGAGACUGAGACACAUACAGACAAUGACCAUGAAUGAUGAAUGAUGACUGGAGGACUGUCUGGUGUCAACAGAAUGCAUAAUACAGAAUACAUACGACAACUCCUGUCACCCACCCCAUCAAACAUGCAGUCGAAUUACAGGAGACACACAGCACUCUGGGCCCCCUUCAUUGUAAAUCCUCAUUGCGAGAAGACCACCUCACAGGGAUUUUCCUCUUCACCAGGUGUGACAGGAUGAGACUCAGUGGAAAAGAUCACCUGGUCUAGACAGGACCGGCAGGUGUAAACCGAACGGGCUUAUACCGUGCCUUGUCUCGUGUGACCGUAGGGAAGAUGACUGUUCGGGGAUGACCACGCAUGCAGGCCCCGUGCGCGUCCACAGUGCAACAUUUAGGAUGAAGAAAACGGAGAUGAAGAGGAAGACAACUCAGGAGAGGAGGAAAAAGCAACACAUCAAGGAAGUGUGAGAGAAGAGGAUAUGGAGCUAUGCGCUGCGUAUUUCUCAUGUUCAAAAUGACAUAUAAUUGUCAUCAUCAUCAUCAUAAAGUGCAACCUAAAUAUUUGACUAUGGGUAGGAUGGCAGCAUGUGGGGGGUCUGGAGUUUAAAUGAGAAGCUAAGGCUGUGCAGCCACAUCAAUGGUGUUCACUGCUGUGACGUCUCAGAUUUUGUAUGUGUUGUAUGUUAAAAAAAAGUUAGAACACUGUGUUAUAUGGGGAAACCAUGUGUUAGCACAAACUCUGUAAUGGCAUCAGAGUGAAUUUAUGAUACAGGAGCACAAUCAUGCACUUUAUGAAACAGUGGGAAAGCCUUUUCUUGUUCAUAUUCAUUGUAACAUUGGAAAGUGCUGUCCACAUUGUUGUUCCACCACUGAGGUGGUGUAUCUGAUGUCAUUGAAAUAUGUUAUUGUACCAGACAUACACAUAUUGUAUGUGUGUAUGUCUCUCUUGCUCUCUCUCUCUCUCUGCCUAUAAUGAAUGAAUAUAUAUGGAACUGCAAGUGGUUCAGUCCUGUACCCUGAGUCCUGUAUCCCCAUCCCCUGCCCAAAACCAGGGUCUGACGCUAACGGUAGCAAACAGACCGAAAAGCAGAGCAGAUUUUGGUGCUUCAUUUCCGUGCCACUGAAUUUUUAAUUACCGCCCCCCUUAGCUCUAUUGCUGUGCCUCACCUCAAAAGAUGCAGACUUGGCAACUGGCGAAAAGUACUCGAAGGAGAUACUGUGCAAGGGAGGUAACACCUGAAAUUUGAUUAAACAUCUGACGAUGCAUAGCUUUUUCUUUUUUUUUUUUUUUUUUAAAGUUGAGAAAUGUACCCACGCCAAACACAUCUGCUGCCGCCAGUGGAGUUAGCAUCAUCCCCGGAGAGGACAGUCCCAGCGCUGCCAGUGAGUUAUGGUGGUUAUGGUUAAAUCAAUGUGCUGAAGGAAUGCUAAAUGAAUGCUAGGAUGAACUAGCAAACGCCGUCGUAAUCUCAUGCAGCAGUCUUUUUGUUGUUGGCAGUGACUCCCUUUCUCAGUUGUAUCACAAAAUAGCUUAAAAAAUAAAAAGGUACAGUUUUUGGACAAAGUUAGUAUGUUUUCCAUUCUUUAAGCACCGUUUAAGUACCGCUUUGGCACCUGUAUUGGAUAAAACCUUAACGAUAAGCAUCCCUAGUGACUACAUGGUGACUGAGAGCAGGCUACUUUGAGGAAUGUAAAUCAGGGGUCUUUUCAGGCCAAGGACCCCCAAACUGAUGUAGAGGUUACGUAGGGCCCCCCUUACCCACUAUAUGUGUUCUAUAUUAAACUCAGCCUAGUGCGAUUUAUAAAUUCACAUUAUUAUUAUCAUUAUCA